rnacentral:lncRNA from 7 species
GGCAAGGGAAAGAAGCCUGACAGUUUGGAUAGAUGUCCCUUGUUAUCACUUACAGGCUUGUUAACCAGUACCUUGAAAUUCUGCAAGGCGAGUUUGCAUAGCAUAUCCUUGAAAUUACACUUGGAAGCUAUUACUUGGACAGUUACUUUAGAGGCAUUCUUGGAGGUCAUUACAGUUUUUGUCAAGAACAGUUUAAUUCUCUGCCAUUUUCCACUUUUGUUAUUAUUGUGGACCAUCGUGGGAGCAGGUUAAUUUGGUCCAAUUUCCUCAUCAUGUUCUGUCCCUCAUCUCAUGAAUGCAAACACGUGAAGGCUGGACUCUGCCGAAGAUUAAACUUGUGGUGACAAGUAAUUCUUGUGACAGAGGCUUUAAUGAGAAGAGAAAAAGACCUUAAAAUAUCUUCUUACACUUAAUAAGGAUAAUCUAAAAAGUUGUAUGGAACUCGUUGGAGGACAGCUCUGACUGGUCUGCUGGUCACACUGAGCCAGCCACACUGGGCUGGCCUUGGCCAUGGAGAUGCAGGAAGGUGACUCCAUGGGCAGGCAAUAUCAGAGCCCCUCUCUUUGAAAAGCACAGAAAGCUUCUCAGCAUUGAUCUAGGAGAAAGCCAGCUGGUGGCCCUGCUGUCUGGAGGCAGUGCUGUGUGUGAGGGGCUGAGUCCUGCCAUCUUGCCAUGCAGAAGCCUUGCUCUGUCCUGUCCUCUUCCCCAGCUUUCUGCUAGAGACAAUAUGGACACAGCAUCACCACCUCAGGCCAAAGUCUGUGAGAAAGAUGUGAGAAAUAAGCACACACUGAACCUGCCUCAGAUAAACCUUUCAAAAAACAAGUUUUUGGCAUCUGCUGGUUUAAAGGCUUUCAAGCCAGUGUUGGCAUCAGCACCCUAAGGUCUGGAUGCUCCCAGAAGCAAGAUCGUUUCCAUCAGGUAUUAAAAUCUGUUUUCAGUGGCAGGCAAGGACGUGUGUUAUUACUGUACUUGGACAGAAUGUCACUCAGGAUAAUACAGAGCUGCAGACAAGCAUCGCUUUAAAAGCAGGCCCUUGUCUCUCUGUAUUUCCUCGGCACACUGAAUGUUUGGCAAAGCUCCAGGAGCUUUCCAAACACAAACAAGCAUUUAUGUAUUAAGCCUUUUUAUCAGGCUAUGCUCUGUCUGAGCUGGGAUGUGGGCAGCCUUUCUAAUAAGGCGUAUGCAGAAUUGUUAAUGGCUUUUCCCAUCAGUAUAUGCAACAAAAAUAUAAAACUUCUAGAUAUUAC